CUCACGUGUAUGCCUUAGUAGCGGCGAGUGGAGCGGCAAAAGCUCCAAUUUGAAAUCUGGCGCCUUCGGUGUCCGAGUUGUAAUUUGAAGAUUGUAACCUUGGGGUUGGCUCUUGUCUAUGUUUCUUGGAACAGGACGUCACAGAGGGUGAGAAUCCCGUGCGAUGAGAUGCCCAAUUCUAUGUAAGGUGCUUUCGAAGAGUCGAGUUGUUUGGGAAUGCAGCUCUAAGUGGGUGGUAAAUUCCAUCUAAAGCUAAAUAUUGGCGAGAGACCGAUAGCGAACAAGUACAGUGAUGGAAAGAUGAAAAGAACUUUGAAAAGAGAGUGAAAAAGUACGUGAAAUUGUUGAAAGGGAAGGGUUUGAGAUCAGACUCGAUAUUUUGUGAGCCUUGCCUUCGUGGCGGGGUGACCCGCAGCUUAUCGGGCCAGCAUCGGUUUGGGCGGUAGGAUAAUGGCGUAGGAAUGUGACUUUACUUCGGUGAAGUGUUAUAGCCUGCGUUGAUGCUGCCUGCCUAGACCGAGGACUGCGAUUUUAUCAAGGAUGCUGGCAUAAUGAUCCCAAACCGCCCGUCUUGAAACACGGACCA
rnacentral:rRNA from 1 species